rnacentral:rRNA from 1 species
UACGUAGGGUGCGAGCGUUGUCCGGAAUUAUUGGGGCGUAAAGAGCUCGUAGGCGGCUUUGUAAGUUAGAGGUGAAAGCCCAGGGCUUAACCCUGGAAUUGCCUUUAAGACUGCAUCGCUAGAAUCGUGGAGAGGUGAGUGGAAUUCCGAGUGUAGAGGUGAAAUUCGUAGAUAUUCGGAAGAACACCAGUGGCGAAGGCGACUCACUGGACACGUAUUGAC